CUCUAAUGUCUAUAUAUAAUUCUCAUUCGAAAUCCGAUUUCGAGACCGUUAUUUCAAUAACCUUUGGUCUUUUUGUUGUGAAAUUUAAAAAAAAAAAGAAAUAUUUUAGAAAUAACAAAUAACGUAGAUGGGUGAAAAAAAACCUUUCAAAGUAAAUCUUCCGGUCAAUGCUAAGUUGUUGAAGGGAGAUAUACUGCUCCUCACCACCAUAAGAACAUCUGAUUAUGCCAUCUUGACUUUCACAAAUGUUUGAAAUGGAUAUAAUCUUAGUUAAAACCCCAACAACAACACAUAUUCCUUUUACUAAUGCAUUCACCAUUUUCAAUUUUAUUUCACAAUUUCAAGAUGGUGGACACUAAUCACUCGCACAUUGGUCAAAGAACAACAUACAGUCGCAAUUAUGUCUAAUGUUGGUGCACUGUCCGGAUUGCAAUGGAGAUAGUCUAUCGGAAUGGUACUCUGAAGUAUUGUAUACUUAUUACGUACAAGACCAAUCAUACGCUCGACAUGGAUUCUUGUGUGUGCAAUUUUCCUGGCCUGUGCAAUUUCAAGUGGGAACAAUUGCUUUUCCCUUAGUGAAUGCUAAAAUUUUAACUCUGC
rnacentral:lncRNA from 1 species